rnacentral:rRNA from 1 species
UACGUAGGGGGCAAGCGUUGUCCGGAAUCAUUGGGCGUAAAGCGCGUGUAGGCGGCUCGGUAAGUCUGCUGUUAAAGUCCAGGGCUCAACCCUGGGAUGCCGGUGGAUACUGUCGAGCUCGAGUCCGGAAGAGGAGUGUGGAAUUCCUGGUGUAGCGGUGAAAUGCGCAGAUAUCAGGAGGAACACCGGUGGCGAAGGCGGUUCUCUGGGCCUGUACUGACGCUGAGGAACGAAAGCGUGGGGAGCGAACAGG